UUGGCCCCCUGUCCCGCCUUCAGACCCCGCCCUCCGCCUCGAACCUCCAAGCUCACGUCCUCGGCUCCGCCUCAGGCUCCGGCUCCGCCUCAGCUCCGCCCCCGCCGCGAGGCUUCUAGCCGCGCGGUCCCCUGUCCCGCCCUCAAGAUCCGCCCUCGUGGAGAAGUGAGGGGGACACCGGCUCCCCGGCUCCGCCUCCAGGCCGCAGACUCCGAGCCUCUCAGCCGGGAGACUUCGGCGGCUUGACUUCCGGCGGCCCAGCUCUCGCAAAAUGGCGGCUCUGUGGGGACAUUUCCAGUCUCGUUUUCCUCGCCCUAAAUUCAGAUGCGGAAGCCUCUCGUUUUGCUGCCGAACGCCCAACCUCUUGUGAUCCGCUAAUUCAUAUGUGGGUUUGACUAGUCGUUUGAUGGUGCAGAGUUUAAAAAUCAGAUCUGGGCCAGAAUCCUGGUUUCCCUCUUUCCCAAGGGAGUGUGGCCUUGACCUUCCUAAAUCCAGGACUAAAAUGUCUGUAAAGCCUGUGCACUGGGCCUGAUUUGGAUAGAAUAAGCGCCUAGUCCCUGACUACUUGUGUCUCUGUUGUGGGGGAAACUACAUGUUUAUCCUCUCAGUGUACUGAGAAGAAAUUUGUUAUAUUGGUGGAAUACUUACGAGCUUGAAAUGAAGAGGUCCCAAAUUUAGAGCUCCAUUUUGAAACCCAAAGAAACUAUUUGUAUUAAUCUCUUGGAAUCAAAAUUAUGUCAAAUUCAAGGUGUUUAUGAUAUGAUGCCACUUAAUAUCUCCACAGCAUCUGUCCUUUGUAAAGCCUCUAUUUUGCCUUGCCUCCAACUAUUUUUUUCUUUCCUUUUUUUUUUUUUUUUUUUGGUCUGACAACUCCAGAUGUGUUUCUGUCAUCUUAGUUUUUGUGCAAAGAUACAAAAAUGUAUACUUUGAAAAAUCACAGUAAGCUAAGGUUAAGUUUCUAAAAAGCGGGAGAAAAAAUGAGCAGAGAGGAACUAUAGAAAAGUCAUGCAUUCUAUUCCUGUUCUCACUUCACCUUUGUUCCCCAUCUUUACUCUUAACUGCCUACUUUUUUUCCCCUUGAAACUGACUACUUCUUUUUAUUCUUCCCAGUGUAUUAUCUCAAGGCUAAAAAGAUUUCUGUUUAGAAAGCAUGAAGAUUUGUUCAUUUAAAGAAAUGCUGAGUUUUGAUGUUUAGGAGAAUACGUGAAGAUAUACCUGGAAAGGAAUGUGUCAUAAUGAUUACAUUGUUUUUGGAUAUGUAAUCUGGAAGCUUUCCCAGGAUAAGUUGAAAAAGAGACUGGAGGCAAGAAAAGCAGAUGACUUUGGGAAGAACCUAGACACUAGGAAAUGAAGACAUACGUACUUUGGAGUGAUGAUAAUGAAAAAAGUGGAAAUGGCAUGAGAGACAUUAUAAAAGUAGAGCUGAUGGGACUGGAUUACUGAUAGGUGAAGAUGAUGGAGGACCCCAGGAUCAUGAUCUGAGCCAAAGGCAGAAGCUUAACCAACUGAGCCACCCAGGAGCCCCUCAGCCUCAUUUCUUGAAGGAGUUGUCAUCGUCCUUGCCAUGUGUGGUCCUGGAGAUUCAGCAGUUGAUCUAAGAACACCCAACUAAUUGGUGUAAAAGAUUGGGAAUAUAAGUGCUCAUUAUCCUGUGGAUUAACUGCUCCUGAAGGUAUCAGCACAUGGGAAGAUGCUGGCAACCAUCUUGGGGCCAUGAGAGGAGCCAGUCUUAGAAUGACGCAGACACCACAGAAGCAGAGUGGAGAGAAGAAAGUAAAUAGGUCCUUGAUGACAAAUUGAGUUAUAAAAUCAAGCUUCAUCUGAAGCCAUGACUGGCCUGAAGCCUGUGGACUUUUCAUUCUCGUGAGCCAAUCAGUUUUCUUUAUUGUUUAGACAAGUUUGAAUUGGGUUUUCUGUUACUUGAAAUCAAAUGUAUAGAAAAAAAUUCUAGAAGGAAAUGCCAACAGCAAAUAUCCCUGAGUAGUAAAAAUGCACAUGAUUUUUUCCUUUGAAGAAUAGCUCCCAAAAUUUCUACCCCCAAAAAGUACACUAAUUUUUAUCAAGCAAAAGCUUAAAAUAAGUUAUAAGGUAUAUAUUGGUUAUGUGGAAAUGGUGGAUAAUGUCUAAUUGCAAGUAUUUUUCUAAAACAAAUUUAAAAGUCACUACUGUAUAUUAAACUAGGUAGAUAUACAAAAUCCACCGAUGAAAUAGAACAAUUUAAGAGCAUCGAUACCAUGCAAUGUAUGAAUUUAUACAAGGCUAAGGCUAAUUCUUUACAAGGUUGAUCUUUGUAUCCUUAGUUGUUCUAUAAAUGGCUUUUGAAUGAUUGAUUAAAACAACUGCCUACUAGCUAUCAGGAUGUUGAAACAUAUUUGUUCAAUGGGAUCUAUUUGAUAUAAGCAACUGUGGGAUAGCUUUUUCAGAGUAGCUGGAUUUCUUAUUUUUUUCCAACUUUUCACUUGGCCUGGGUUUAUAGCCUUGCUUAAAUAUUCUCCUGGGGUGACUGGGUGGCUCAGUCGGUUAAGUGUCUGCCUUCAGCUCAGGUCAUGAUCCCAGGGCCCUGGGAUUGA